CCUACGGGUGGCAGCAGUGAGGAAUAUUGGUCAAUGGGCGCGAGCCUGAACCAGCCAAGUCGCGUGAGGGAAGACGGCCCUACGGGUUGUAAACCUCUUUUGCCGGGGAGCAACGGGCGCCACGUGUGGCGCCACUGAGGGUACCCGGAGAAAAAGCAUCGGCUAACUCCGUGCCAGCAGCCGCGGUAAUACGGAGGAUGCGAGCGUUAUCCGGAUUCAUUGGGUUUAAAGGGUGCGCAGGCGGGCCUUUAAGCCGGCGGUGAAAUCGCGGGGCUCAACCCCGCCGAGCCGUCGGAACUGGGGGCCUUGAGUGCGGCGGAGGCAUGCGGAAUGCGCGGUGUAGCGGUGAAAUGCAUAGAUAUCGCGCAGAACCCCGAUUGCGAAGGCAGCGUGCCGUGCCGCCACUGACGCUGAGGCACGAAAGCGCGGGGAUCGAACAGGAUUAGAUACCCGGGUAGUC
rnacentral:rRNA from 1 species